CUGUUCCCAUGCCGAACACAGCAGUUAAGCUUCUUAGCGCCGAUGGUAGUUGGACCUUUGGUCCUGUGAGAGUAGGACGUUGCCACGC
rnacentral:rRNA from 1 species